rnacentral:tRNA from 1 species
CUGGUGGGAAGGUGUAUACGGAUGCACAUGGCCCUGCUAAGGCCAAGGCGGGGUUCGAUCCCCCACCCACCAGA